CCUACGGGUGGCAGCAGUCGAGAAUCAUUCACAAUGGGGGAAACCCUGAUGGUGCGACGCCGCGUGGGGGAAUGAAGGUCUUCGGAUUGUAAACCCCUGUCAUGUGGGAGCAAAUUAAAAAGAUAGUACCACAAGAGGAAGAGACGGCUAACUAUGUGCCAGCAGCCGCGGUAAUACAGAGGUCUCAAGCGUUGUUCGGAAUCACUGGGCGUAAAGCGUGCGUAGGCUGUUUCGUAAGUCGUGUGUGAAAGGCGCGGGCUCAACCCGCGGACGGCACAUGAUACUGCGAGACUAGAGUAAGGGAGGGGGAACCGGAAUUCUCGGUGUAGCAGUGAAAUGCGUAGAUAUCGAGAGGAACACUCGUGGCGAAGGCGGGUUCCUGGACAUUAACUGACGCUGAGGCACGAAGGCCAGGGGAGCGAAAGGGAUUAGAUACCCCAGUAGUC
rnacentral:rRNA from 1 species